CAAUAGCGUAUAUUAAAGUUGUUGCAGUUAAAAAGCUCGUAGUUGGAUUUCUGGUGGGAGCGAUCGGUCUGGCGCUUAGCGCGAGUACUUGCAUCGUCUCCGGCCAUCCUUGGGGAAAGUCUGUCUGGCAUUAAGUUGUCGGGCAGAGGAUCCUCAUCGUUUACUGUGAAAAAAUUAGAGUGUUCAAAGCAGGCUUAUGCCGUUGAGUAUAUUAGCAUGGAAUAAUAAGAUAGGACUUUGGUACUAUUUUGUUGGUUUGCGCACCAAAGUAAUGAUUAAUAGGGACAGUUGGGGGUAUUCGUAUUCCGUUGUCAGAGGUGAAAUUCUUGGAUUUACGGAAGACGAACUACUGCGAAAGCAUUUACCAAGGAUGUUUUCAUUAA
rnacentral:rRNA from 1 species